UGGUGAGACAGAGACGGAGCACCAUGUGUUUUUACAACGCAGCAUCCAUUAUACAUGAGUAAAAUAGCAGCCGCUCAGCUGCAAUCAUGGUAAAUUGUGUAUCAACUGUUGAAAAAAUAUACUUUUUCUAUGGAAGCAAGUAUGGCUAGUACAUUUAUUGAAAGACUGAAGUAAGGUUCAAGUGGUUCUAACUUUCGCAAACUGUUUCCUUUAUUGGUGAAGGAAGAGGAUUCUGGAAUCAAAGAACAAGCAGCAGAUCUCGUGAGAAGACAUGUCUGUCUCCACUGCCUCCUGUUUGCUGUAGGCAUUUCUCUCUCCUCUGUAUCAGCAUCAGCGUGUAGGAAGCUAGACACGUAGCAGUCAGUGGUCUGUCUGGAGCUCCUGAGAUGUUUGACCUGCAGCAUCCCUUGGAGGGGGGGAUGCCAGAAGCAUGAAGCGGUGGGACCGUAGGAGACGUGGGGAUGCUUCCUGGUAUCUGCGCCCUGCUGAAGUGCCUACAUUUCCCACUCUUUGACCUGCCCUGAAAAUAAGCUGUGCAAGGCUGCUAAGCUAGGACAGACUGCAAAGACAGUCUGAAAGGCAGGAAGGGUUAAGACUAAACCCUACGGAAGAGUCCAGGUUCACAGUGCAGCAAAGGAAACUUCACUAUAAGUAAAGCCUGGGGCAACCAUGCAAGAUGAGAGUAAGGCUGAGCUAACCUUUUCUUCUGGUCCAUUCUGUUUCUCCAAAACAUAAAGUAUAAUAAUUAAAAUUGGCAUACACGUGACUCUGUGCGAGGAAACACUGAUAAAUUUCUUGGAACGCAAAGUUCUGUUUUAUCGUUGUAUUGCAUUAACCAACUCCAUUUUUUGAAACACAGAAAGAGGGAUGCAAUUACUUUGGGUGUCAAAAAGAAGUUAGUGGUGAUACUCCUAGAUGUUUUUGUUAAGAAUUUCUCUGACAGUUCUGUUAUCUGUUGCGAAUACUGAGUUUCAAAGAGGAGGGGCAGAGCGGGAGAAAUUUGCAUUUGGGUGCCCCUUAUAAAUCUUAAAUACAAUCCUCUUGAUGCUGAUUUUCCUGUUUAACAAACUGUCUCAUUCAUCAGAGCUCUGUGGUGAAAGUAAGAAGGGAAAAUCGUUAACAAACACAAGAGAGGAUCAGAAUCAAUGACAGCACACAAGAAGAAAAUGAUUGCUGCCUGCUUUUAUGCCUGAAGUUUCUAGCUUCCUUUGACUUAGGCAAAUUUGGACCACAAAUCCCAUUGUUUGAAUGUUGCAUGCUAUUUCAUGGAGGCUCUGCCCCCCUCUGCUUCUUUUAUGUUAGGCCUUUGAAAAUGGAAGGAUGGGGAGAUGCAACAGUUCAGAAAGGCUUGGAAAGUUUUUAAUUCUGCCUUUAUAAGCUUCUUCUGAAUGAGUUAUUUCCACAACGUGGCUCUUUGAGGAGUGCAGAGCAUUAAGUAGCACUGUCGUGUGCAUCAGCAGUCAUUUUAAAUGCCAAGACCAAAGUUCAGCUUCUCAAGGCUUUUACUGGGCAGCUGAUUACAUCAUUAAAAUGUUCGGUGCAAAGCA